rnacentral:rRNA from 1 species
AUUGAACGCUGGCGGCAUGGCUAAAACAUGCAAGUCGAACGGGGCCGCAAGGCCCAGUGGCGGAAGGGUGAGUAAUAGUAUCGAAUGUACCCCGAGGUGUGGGAUAGGCAUGGGAAACCGUGCGUAAUACCACAUGAUCUCUACGGAGCAAAGCUUCCGCGCCUUGGGAGCAGCGAUACACCUAUCAGGUAGUUGGCGGGGUAAUGGCCCACCAAGCCGAAGACGGGUAGCCGGUAUGAGAGUACGGCCGGCCACAUCGGGACUGAGACACUGCCCGGACUCCUACGGGAGGCUGCAGUAACGAAUAUUCCACAAUGCACGAAAGUGUGAUGGAGCAAUGCCGCGUGCGGGAUGAAGCGCCUUUGGCGUGUAAGCCGCUGUCAGGGGAUCGAAACACUGAUCAUCCCCAGAGGAAGUGGCGACUAACUCUGUG